AUUGAACGCUGGCGGCAGGCCUAACACAUGCAAGUCGAACGGUAGCACAGAGAGCUUGCUCUCGGGUGACGAGUGGCGGACGGGUGAGUAAUGUCUGGGAAACUGCCCGAUGGAGGGGGAUAACUACUGGAAACGGUAGCUAAUACCGCAUAAUGUCGCAAGACCAAAGAGGGGGACCUUCGGGCCUCUUGCCAUCGGAUGUGCCCAGAUGGGAUUAGCUAGUUGGUGAGGUAAUGGCUCACCAAGGCGACGAUCCCUAGCUGGUCCGAGAGGAUGACCAGCCACACUGGAACUGAGACACGGUCCAGACUCCUACGGGAGGCAGCAGUGGGGAAUAUUGCACAAUGGGCGCAAGCCUGAUGCAGCCAUGCCGCGUGUGUGAAGAAGGCCUUCGGGUUGUAAAGCACUUUCAGCGGGGAGGAAGGCAAUACGGUUAAUAACCGUGUUGAUUGACGUUACCCGCAGAAGAAGCACCGGCUAACUCCGUG
rnacentral:rRNA from 1 species